CUGGUUGAUCCUGCCAGAGGCUACUGCUAUCGGGGUCCGACUAAGCCAUGCGAGUUGAGAGGGGUAAGCCCUCGGCAUAUUGCUCAGUAACACGCGGAUAACCUGCCCUUGGGUUCGGGAUAACCCCGGGAAACUGGGACUAAUACCGGAUAGAUCAAAGAAACUGGAAUGUUCUCUGGUUAAAAACUCCGGUGCCCAAGGAUGGGUCUGCGGCCUAUCAGGUAGUAGUGGGUGUAACGUACCUACUAGCCUACGACGGGUAAGGGUUGUGAGAGCAAGAGCCCUGAGAUGGAUUCUGAGACAUGAAUCCAGGCCCUACGGGGUGCAGCAGGCGCGAAAACUUUACACUGCGGGAAACCGCGAUAAGGGGACCCCGAGUGCCAGCACCUAGUGCUGGCUGUCCAGCUGUCCAAAUAACAGUUGUUAGCAAGGGCCGGGCAAGACCGGUGCCAGCCGCCGCGGUAACACCGGCGGCCCGAGUGGUAGCCGUUAUUAUUGGGUUUAAAGGGUCCGUAGCCGGCCUAUUAAGUCUCUUGGGAAAUCUGGCGACUCAAUCGUCAGUCGUCCAAGAGAUACUGGUAGGCUUGGGACCGGGAGAGGUGGGAGGUACUCCAGGGGUAGGGGUGAAAUCUCGUAAUCCUUGGGGGACCACCAGUGGCGAAGGCGUCUCACCAGAACGGACCUGACGGCAAGGGGCGAAAGCUAGGGGCACGAACCGGAUUAGAUACCCGGGUAGUCCUAGCCGUAAACGAUACUCGCUAGGUGUCGGCCACGGUGCGACCGUUGUCGGUGCCGUAGGGAAGCCGUGAAGCGAGCCACCUGGGAAGUACGGCCGCAAGGCUGAAACUUAAAGGAAUUGGCGGGGGAGCACCACAACGGGUGGAGCUUGCGGUUUAAUGGAUUCAACGCCGGG
rnacentral:rRNA from 1 species